rnacentral:rRNA from 2 species
UCUUCGGAGAGUUUGAUCCUGGCUCAGGAUGAACGCUGGCGGCGUGCCUAAUACAUGCAAGUCGAGCGA